GAUACAAGGCAUACAAUAAACAAGGGAACCCACCCUUCAAGCAGAAGCCUUCAGAUUCUUUGGUUUAAAAGCCUGAAAAACCCCAUGACAAGGCCUGGGAUUCUCUCAAGGUGGUGACAAGAUUACAAUUCUAGGAUCAGACAUGCCAAGACAGAGCCAAGAAAAACUGCAGUGCCCUUCUCAGCCAGCAUCACCGUCCCUUUACCAUAUUCUAGUAAUCUCCCACACCCUGCCUGAGGUCUCUUGGGUGCCAACUAUUUGCAAAAGACAGGAUUAGGGGCUAAGGAGAUGACUCAAUCAGGAAAGUGGUCACCAUACAAGCCUGAGAACCUGAAUACAAUCCCUGGAAACCAUAUUAAAAAGCAAA
rnacentral:lncRNA from 1 species